UAGCUGUUGGGAGAAGGCGGCUCACAGGGACUCAAACAGUUCUACUUCCUUUGUUAGGAGACUGAGGACCAGGGCCAAGCUGGGAAAUUAAAGAUUAAGUUCAUUAAGGACUUUGAUAUCUUCAAGGACAAAGGAACAUCUACCAUGGAGAGCUACCAAGAGACAGGAGCCUGAAGGAGCAAAAAGGGCCCAGCACUGUGAAUAGCCAUGGAAAACAGAUUGCUGGAGACUUCUCUGAUUACAGCUGCUUACAGGAGUCUGUGGACAACCUGACAUGCAAACUGCCCUUCGACUUCACAGUCGAGAAAGGAGCUGAGAGGAGUGUGAGGGACGAUGAAGAGGAGGAAGGACAGGCUAGGCUUGGUGGAGAACACUCACUCACCCCUGUGGCCCUUGGGCAAUCACUUGAGGCUUCUCGGUGGGCACAGGGGAUUUUCUAGCAAUUCCUGAACCUCCCGGAAGGUCAAAAAACAGACCAAGUCCCAAACACCCAGGAGUCUAAAUCCAAGAAGCAUUAUCUCUUUUACUCCUGGACUUAGAACCCAACACAGGUUCUAAGACUUUCUCUUUCUAAAUCAAUAAAACAUGAUUAUUUU